rnacentral:rRNA from 1 species
AUUGAACGCUGGCGGCAGGCUUAACACAUGCAAGUCGAGCGAGCGGCGGACGGGAGUGUAAUGUCUGGGAAACUGCCUGGUGGAGGGGGAUAACUACUGGAAACGGUAGCUAAUACCGCAUACCAUGAGAUGUCCCCAGAGGGGAUUCGCUAGUAGGUGGGGUAAUGGCUCACCUAGGAGACGAUCCCUAGCUGGUCUGAGAGGAUGACCAGCCACACUGGAACUGAGACACGGUCCAGAGUCCUACGGGAGGCAGCAGUGGGGAAUAUUGCACAAUGGGCGCAAGCCUGAUGCAGCCAUGCCGCGUGUGUGAAGAAGGCCUUCGGGUUGUAAAGCACUUUCAGCGAGGAGGCGUUACUCGCAGAAGAAGCACCGGCUAACUCCGUGCCAGCAGCCGCGGUAAUUC